GGCCUUGUCUCGGUCGUUGCUUCUUGCAGAUCUUCACCCCUCCAGGCUUUCUGGACUCGCCAGGGGUGGAGUAGUAGGCGCACUGUCUAAGUGAAGGUAGCAGUGUUGUUGGCGAAGAGUUGUGGACCUACUUUGAGUUUGUAGCGAUCAUCCAGAGCUAGCGGAUCUCCCCACGCGGUAACGCGUGCCUCUAGGCCCAAAAGGCACGGUGUUCACAGCACCCUUUGGAUGGCGGGGGUGCCCCCCUCCGCACUUAAAGUAGAAAAACAGCUUAGUAGUCAAAUAACAUGGCUUUCCUCAAGCAUUCAGUGCUACAUGGGACUGAAGGAUGCCCAGAAGGUACCCGCAGGCAACGAUAAGCUCACUGUGGAUCUGAUCUGGGGCCCUGGGCCAGGUGCUAUACACCUGGUUAAAACCAAAUCUGGUAGUCAGGGUUAAAAAACGUCUAAGUCCCACCCCCCCGGGGACGGGGGGUUCCCUUAAACCCUCAACUGACA
rnacentral:other from 1 species